UACAGAGGUCCCAAGCGUUGUUCGGAUUCACUGGGCGUAAAGGGUGCGUAGGCGGUUGGGUAAGUCUGAUGUGAAAUCUCACAGCUUAACUGUGAAACUGCAUUGGAUACUAUCCGGCUAGAGGAAUGGAGGGGAGACUGGAAUACUUGGUGUAGCAGUGAAAUGCGCAGAUAUCAAGUGGAACACCAGUGGCGAAGGCGAGUCUCUGGACAUUUCCUGACGCUGAGGCACGAAAGCCAGGGGAGCAAACGGG
rnacentral:rRNA from 1 species